UCCACUAACAUUCUCCUUAGUUUUAUUUUAUUUUUCUCUCUGAAGAUGGCUGAUUUUGGGAGCAAUCUAAUCAAAAAUAUAAUACGAACUCUUGUUAUGGCUCCGGUGUAUACUACAGCAGGAUAUGUUGCAUACAGAACUGGACGCUGGUUCUAUAAUCAUGAGAUGAGGAGACUUGCUAUAGUGAGUUCUACAGAGGCGCAAAGGUGGGGAGGAAAAAAGGUCAAUGAUCAACCACCUAAAUGGCGCCCUUUCUGGGCUUGGUGAUUGUUUGUUUUUAAUAAUAUAAUGUAAACCUAUUUUGAGAUAGAUUCAAGAUUUGAAUUAUAUGGAUUCGAAUUCA